rnacentral:tRNA from 1 species
GGCCCCAUCGUCUAGUGGCCUAGGACGUCAGGUUCUCAACCUGAAAACACGGGUUCGAUUCCCGUUAGGGCCACCA